rnacentral:rRNA from 1 species
UACGUAGGGGGCAAGCGUUGUCCGGAUUUAUUGGGCGUAAAGAGCGUGUAGGCGGCCCGACAGGUCCGUUGUGAAAACUCGAGGCUCAACCUCGAGACGCCGAUGGAAACCGUUUGGCUAGAGUCCGGAAGAGGAGAGUGGAAUUCCUGGUGUAGCGGUGAAAUGCGCAGAUAUCAGGAAGAACACCCGUGGCUAAGGCGGCUCUCUAGUACGGUACUGACGCUGAGACGCGAAAGCGUGGGGAGCGAACAGG